rnacentral:rRNA from 1 species
UCCUGCCGGACCUGACUGCUAUCGGAUUGAUACUAAGCCAUGCGAGUCAUUGUAGCAAUACAAGGCAGACGGCUCAGUAACGCGUAGUCAGCCUACCCUAUGGACGGGAAUAACCUCGGGAAACUGAGUAUAAUGCCCGAUAGAACAUUAUGCCUGGAAUGGUUUAUGUUCCAAAUGAUUUAUCGCCGUAGGAUGGGACUGCGGCCUAUCAGUUUGUUGGUGAGGUAAUGGCCCACCAAGACUAUUACAGGUACGGGCUCUGAGAGGAGUAGCCCGGAGAUGGGUACUGAGACACGGACCCAGGCCCUAUGGGGCGCAGCAGGCGAGAAAACUUUGCAAUGUGCGAAAGCACGACAAGGUUAAUCCGAGUGGUUUCUGCUAAAGGAACCUUUUGUUAGUCCUAAAAACACUAACGAAUAAGGGGUGGGCAAGUUCUGGUGUCAGCCGCCGCGGUAAAACCAGCACCUCAAGUGGUCAGGAUGAUUAUUGGGCCUAAAGCAUCCGUAGCCUGCUCUGUAAGUUUUCGGUUAAAUCUGUAUGCUCAACAUACAGGCCGCCGGGAAUACUGCAGGGCUAGGGAGUGGGAGAGGUAGACGGUACUCGGGAGGAAGUGGUAAAAUGCUUUGAUCUCUCGAUGACCACCUGUGGCGAAGGCGGUCUACCAGAACACGUCCGACGGUGAGGGAUGAAAGCUGGGGGAGCAAACCGGAUUAGAUACCCGGGUAGUCCCAGCCGUAAACUAUGCAAACUCAGUGAUGCAUUGGCUUGUGGCCAAUGCAGUGUUGCAGGGAAGCCGUUAAGUUUGCCGCCUGGGAAGUACGUACGCAAGUAUGAAACUU